rnacentral:rRNA from 1 species
UAGGGAAUCUUCCACAAUGGACGCAAGUCUGAUGGAGCAACGCCGCGUGAGUGAAGAAGGUUUUCGGAUCGUAAAGCUCUGUUGUUGGUGAAGAAGGAUAGAGGCAGUAACUGGUCUUUAUUUGACGGUAAUCAACCAGAAAGUCACGGCUAACUACGUGCCAGCAGCCGCGGUAAUACGUAGGUGGCAAGCGUUGUCCGGAUUUAUUGGGCGUAAAGCGAGCGCAGGCGGAAUGAUAAGUCUGAUGUGAAAGCCCACGGCUCAACCGUGGAACUGCAUCGGAAACUGUCAUUCUUGAGUGCAGAAGAGGAGAGUGGAAUUCCAUGUGUAGCGGUGGAAUGCGUAGAUAUAUGGAAGAACGCCAGUGGCGAAGGCGGCUCUCUGGUCUGCAACUGACGCUGAGGCUCGAAAGCAUGGGUAGCGAACAGG